rnacentral:snRNA from 1 species
AGCUUUGCGCAGUGGCAGUAUCACAGCCAAUGAGGUUUAUCCAAGGUGUGAGUAUUACUAAUUAAAAGCA